AGAUUCGUUGUCUGAACAACCAUUACUUAUAAAAGUAAAUAUAUUAAACACAAAAAAACGAAGUAUUUAUAACUUUUCAAUGUCUACUUAACAUAUAUAGUUCAUGUAACACAAAAAUAUAAGUUACAAAGUGAACUUAAGUGUAUGCAUAAAUACAAUGAAAGAAAAUAAGUCAUGACAACUACUAGUACAAUUAUGUUAAAAUUAAGUAAAUAUAGCAUAAAAUUUUAAGUAUUUGACUGUGAGCCAUGUGAUAUGCUGUUUCCUGCCAAGGAGCCAUUUUGUGAAGCACAUGUGAAGACGGUGAGAAGAGACCAGCCCUGUGGAACAACGUAAAGAAGUUGUAAUUGUAUGCUUAACUAUCUGCCUCUCUGAGAAUCUCAUCAAGCACCAUCAGAUACUCAUGGGAAUAAGGAGAAACUGGAACUGCUCACACUUAAAAUCAUCAUGAAAGGUGGCUCAACAGAUGAUCCAUUACAGACUGGGAUAGUGCUGGAAGGCAUAGAGGUGAUGAUGGGAUUGGCAGGUGUUGCAAAGGCUUGUGUUUUUCUGCUUGGCCUAAUUUAUGCAAUUAAUCUGAGUUACCCCAAAGAGCUCAAUGUGCAAUGUUUGUCUGCAACUGUUCGAUUAAAUUCUUGAUUUAUUCUUAGGAUGUUUGUCACGUGUUCCAAAAGUAAAUGUUAGAAAGAUUGUUGCAAAGGGUGAAAAAAAAGUGAUCUAUUAUGAAG